AUGUUGUGGGGUAAUCUAGCAAUUUUAAAAAGAUGGAGUUUUAAAAUAAAUAGGGGAUCUAACUAAUGCCACGUGUCGGGCUACCAUUGGCUUGUAGGAUAUCCCUUAUCCCCUUAUCCCAUUUAUUUCUCCCCUCUCCCAAACUCAUGUGCAGCAGCCCAUUCUUUCUUUCUUUCCUCUCUUCUUUCUUUUCUUUCUCUUCUCUCUUUCCCCUCUUCUCACGUACGCACACCACACCGACUAGGAGAGAGAGAGAACGAGCUAGAGAGAGAGAGAGAGCUGCAGAUUGAGAGAGAGAGAGAGAGAGAAUGAGACCGAAUGAGAGAGAGAAGCUGCAGUCCGAAAAGAAAGAAAGAAGAAGAAGAAGAAGAAGAAAGUAAGGAACGAAAAUGGAAUUUCCAGCCAUAGAUUGUUGUUGGGCGUGUAAUGUGAUAUUGGACGCUUAGGACUACAUCUAGUCUUCCAAUGUGUGGUAUGGGUAAUCGGAUUGAUGGAGCACUUCGAAAGGAUUACUUGAGUCGUGAGUCAUUUGUAGGCUACAAGACGAUGUUGUGGAUGCAGGUACAGAGAUGGUAGAUGUGGAUCCUAUUGCCAUGUAUUUGGGCCACGAUGUUUGAGGCCUAGAUGCGUCGGGAGUUGAUUUUGUUGGAUUAGUUAUUAGUCCUCUUUGUUAGAGCAUUCAAGGAUAUGCUUAGAUGUUGGCAUUUGGUAUAUGGCUCGUGUCGCAUGUGACACCUUUGUAUAGCCAUUAUUUUGUAUGUAAGACUUUAUUCACAUAGAUGUAUUAGUCAGCUCUAAUGUGUUAUGUAAGUGUAAUGUUAUUUAUAUUCCGCUGCAAAGAUAUGAACUCUGAUGAAUCAUUGAUAA